rnacentral:tRNA from 1 species
UCGGCUUAGUAUAUUGUGUACGCGAGAUUGUAAAUCUUGAAGUGAGUUAAACUCAGUCGAA